GACGAACGCUGGCGGCGUGCCUAAUACAUGCAAGUAGGACGCAGUUGCGAACGGGUGAGUAACGCGUAGGUAACUACCUAUUAGAGGGGGAUAACUAUUGGAAACGAUAGCUAAUACCGCAUACUAGUAGAUGGACCUGCGUUGUCUUAGCUAGUAGGUAGGGUAAUGGCCGACCUAGGCGACGAUACAUAGCCUACCUGAGAGGGUUAUCGGCCACACUGGGACUGAUGCAAGGCCCAGACUCGGACGGGAGGCAGCAGUAGGGAAUCUGCGGCAAUGGGGGGAACCCUUACCGAGCAACGCCGCGUGAGUGAAGAAGGGUUGCGGGUCGGAAAGGUCUGUUGUUAAGGAAGCGGUACUUAACCAGAAAGGGACGGCUAACUACGUGCCAGCCGCCGCGGUAAUAC
rnacentral:rRNA from 1 species